UACGAAGGGGGCUAGCGCUGUUCGGAAUCACUGGGCGUAAAGCGCACGCAGGCGGAUCGAUAAGUCGGGGGUGAAAGCCCGGGGCUCAACCUCGGAAUUGCCUUCGAUACUGUCGGUCUCGAGUCCGGGAGAGGUGAGUGGAAUUCCUAGUGUAGAGGUGAAAUUCGUAGAUAUUAGGAAGAACACCAGUGGCGAAGGCGGCUCACUGGCCCGGUACUGACGCUGAGGCGCGUCAGCGUGGGGAGCAGACCGG
rnacentral:rRNA from 1 species